GAGACCCCGGGGUUUCCCUAGCAACAGGUGGGAGCUGCGCGGCGCCGGGGCUUCCCCAGCGGCGCUCCCCGCACGCCGGCGGCGGGCCCGGGGCUGCCCAGCCGGGCAAGGCUGGGGCAUGCGGCCUCCUCAGCCCUACGGGGCACGCUGGGCGAGGAGCUGCCCCCGGCCCGCAGCGGGAAGGUGAUAUGAACACACCAUGAAAUCAGAGUGCCGUUGCAGUCAGUUGUAAAGCCAAACUUCUUUGAACAACAAAUUUCAGCAGUACUGUUAUCUAAAAGAUGCUCUUCAAAAGGGAAUGCCACUCUGGGUGCAGUCAAAGUGUGCAGAGGGAUAUGGAUCAUGACAGAACAGUUAUUUAUUUUCUUCUAAACAAUGAGCAAAGUGACCUUAGUCUGCAUUUAAGGAUUUUGAGGGUGUGGGAAUUCACCUUCUCUAUAGCUGGAGACAAAGGAAUCCUUUGCUUUCUUUCAAGAUAAUCUUAAUUAACCUGGUGAAAUAACCAUGCCAUCUUCCUAAGCAUAUAGAUUCUAUGCCACUAAUGAUAUGUGAAUGCAGACUGAAGAUUUACCGUCAGAUGAGACACUUCUUGGAUCUCUCUCUUUUGGUCACUGUUUUCAUGACAAAUAUUCUACUACUGCUCAACCCCAAGGCUAUUUUUUUUCUUUACCAUCUGCUUUUUCUACUAUAGGAGUAGCCCUCAAGAUGUCAUGAACUUGUUUUGUGGUACCACACAUUUGAAUUGCUGACCUUGCAGUGACAGUACUUGUGAGAUCUGCAGAUCAUUUUAUGCAGUCAUUAAAUUGAUUGCUGUGAAAGUUUCUGAACAUCUGAGUCUUCAACAAAAGCAACCUCAAGCCCAUUACUCAUUAACUGCAUUUGCUUUAUAGCACUUAUAGAUAGGAAACAGCACUGAAGGUGUACUAGGAAUUUCAGUUCAUUCCUCUUGCAAAAGACAGUGGAACAACUUUAUCCUGCUACAUAAGGUCUAUCCCUUCAUAUACUCUAUUGGAACUGAAAUAAACCCAGAAUGUGCCAUGCACUUUCCACAGUAGAAUGGGAUGUCCUUUAGCAUUAGAACAAGGUUUCCAACUAGCCACAAAAGGUAUUCUAUAUUUAGAAAAGACACUUCCAUACCUGAGGCUUUUUUAAAGAAGCCUGUCUUGGAAAAUAGUGGAGAGUGUGCAGGAGAUAUGGGGAGCAAUUUUUUUUUUUUUUUUUUUUUUUGGCUUGCUGUUAAGCUGGGUCUAUCUUAAGGCAUCCAUUAGAAGUUGAUAGGACAGAUGAAUGAGCAUGCUGCUAAAACACCUGAAUGGGGAAUAUUAGUGAGAUAGCUCAGCAGGAGCAUGGAUGAGAAAGAGAGAGACCAGGUCAUAGUGACAGGGGUGGUAAUGCUAUUGUGUUUUCUGAACAAAAAGUAAAGCUUAUGUGUCAAGAUCUGCAUGGAUUUAAACACUUCGUAUGGAAGGCUUUUUUUCUUUCAACUAUGCUUUAAUGGCUCUAUUAGCACUCGCUAAAUUUUGAAUAUUGUUCAUUUACGAUAUUUGCAAUCCACCCCCAUGACUCUUCUAUAGCUAGUCUAAUACAUGCUGUGUGUGUAUAAUUGCCCAUUAUUCCAUUGAAAUUACAGGCAGUCACAUCAUGUGCAUUAUUUUAAAUGUAUUGUCAUCACAUGUGUCAUAAAUUAUCAGCUUUGGAGCUACUAGCUGCAUGCUUCAGCAACAGCAGGAUUACUGGAUGAAUACGAUGUGGAAUACGACAUAAAUAUUCAUGCAGAGACUGUACUCAUGUUCAUGAAGCGUUUUCAGACUUGAGGACUCCAUCAGUUGCCAACAUUUCUCAAAGAUGGGAACUACACAGAUAACUCCCUGGACAAUUAAUUAUUCAUUCAUUUUGCAUAAUCUUCAAGCUUAGUUUCAUCCGUUGUUUAAAAUGCAUGCAGAGAAAGCCUUUUGUUCUGGAGAAAGUGAAUAGCAGAUGAGAAGCUUCCUGGAAGACUGCAUCCUUUUUACCUACACUGAAUUGUGUGGGUUAAAAAAGGUUUGUAUCAGCAAUGGGGUACAUCCACCAGAAUUGUCAGCUCUCUGCUCUUUGUGGUUGUUGUCCAAAGUUGGCUUUGGUAGAAAUAUGACAAAUAAAAUGAAAAUAGAUUUA